GGAGGAUCAUUAAUGAAAUUGACGUCCGGGAAGGGGGUUGUUGCUGGCAGACUAUGCAUGUGCACGCCCCUCUACUGGAAUCGUUUAUCCUUUCUUUCACACCUGUGCACGAUCUGUAGCUGGAGGAUGAUUACGGUGCUCUUGCGACUCCGAAUGCCUCUCGCUAUGAACGCUUUUCAACACACCCUUUAUAAAGUAUUUAUGAACGUCUUUGCACAGCGCGUAACGGCGCGAAUGAAAUACAACUUUCAGCAACGGAUCUCUUGGCUCUCGCAUCGAUGAAGAACGCAGCGAAAUGCGAUAAGUAAUGUGAAUUGCAGAAUUCAGUGAAUCAUCGAAUCUUUGAACGCACCUUGCGCUCCUUGGUAUUCCGAGGAGCAUGCCUGUUUGAGUGUCGUGAAAUUCUCAACUGCUUUGGCUUUGUUCAAAGUGAAGUUGGACUUGGAGGCUUUGUCGAGCUUGCGCGACUCCUCCUAAAUGUAUAAGCCUUUUCUUUGUCAGUCCUCUCGGCGCAAAGUAUCUUUGACGUGAUAACUGUCUACGUCGCAGAGAAAGCCUUGAGCAAAGAGAGCAUUUCGCUUGACGAGGAUGGGGUUCUCCGAAGCCUCACGGCCU
rnacentral:rRNA from 1 species